rnacentral:rRNA from 15 species
ACGGGCCGAAUGAACUAGCCCUGAAAAUGGAUGGCGCUCAAGCGUGCUACCCAUACCUCGCCGUCGGGGUAGAAACGAUGCCCCGACGAGUAGGCAGGCGUGGAGGUCCGUGACGAAGCCUUGGGAGUGAUCCCGGGUCGAACGGCCUCUAGUGCAGAUCUUGGUGGUAGUAGCAAAUAUUCAAGUGAGAACCUUGAAGACUGAAGUGGGGAAGGGUUCCAUGGUAACAGCAGUUGGACAUGGGUUAGUCGAUCCUAAGAGAUAGGGAAACUCCGUUUUAAAGCGUGCACUUGUUUGCACCACUAUCGAAAGGGAAUCCGGUUAAGAUUCCGGAACCAGAAUGUGGAUCUUUGACGGUAACGUAAAUGAAGUUGGAGACACUGGCAGGAGCCCUGGGAAGAGUUCUCUUUUCUCCUUAACCGCCUACAACCUUGAAAUCGGAUUAUCCGGAGCUAAGGUCGAAUGGUGGGUAGAGCUCAGCACUUGUGCUGGGUCCGGUGUGUUCC